CUCUUUUGGGGGUUUAAAGAAAUGGUCUGCAUAACCUGAAUGAAAGAAGCAAAUGACUAUUCUCUGAAGACAACCAAGAGAAAAUUGCAAAAAGAAAAGUAUGACUUUUAUAUGAACCCCUUCUUUAGGGUCCAAAAGGAAUUGUGGACUGAAUCACUAGCCUUAGGUCUUUCAGCAAACCGCCUAUCAGGGCCAUUUAUCAUAUGUGAGAUUUGCAUUUUACUUUGCUGACUUUGUUGUAAUAGAUCCCAUUCAUUGUCCCCUUUGGGGUAUUUCCAAUACUUGAAUGGCAGAUUGGAGUUUUUCAGAGUAUUUGUUUCAUCUGCUAGUCUUUCUCUCCUUCAUAGCUUUCCUUUUCCUGGACUUGCUCCUUUUGAGUUGCUUUUGAGUUUCUCAUGCCUAGGUAAGUGUAAUAGAAAUUAUGUAGCUCCUUAUGUUGGCAAAGGAGCUCUAUAUAGUUUCACUUUUUAUAAAAGUUAGGACCAG
rnacentral:lncRNA from 1 species